GACGAACGCUGGCGGCGUGCCUAACACAUGCAAGUCGAGCGAAGCAUUUCUGAAAGCUUGCUUUUAGAAAUGACUUAGCGGCGGACGGGUGAGUAACGCGUGAGCAAUCUGCCCUAUACUCAGGGAUAACACAGGGAAACUUGUGCUAAUACCUGAUGACAUAUACGGAUCGCAUGUUCUGUAUAUCAAAGCUCCGGUGGUAUAGGAUGAGCUCGCGUACGAUUAGAUAGUUGGUGAGGUAACGGCUCACCAAGUCGACGAUCGUUAGCCGGACUGAGAGGUUGAACGGCCACAUUGGGACUGAGAUACGGCCCAGACUCCUACGGGAGGCAGCAGUGGGGAAUAUUGGGCAAUGGGGGAAACCCUGACCCAGCAACGCCGCGUGAAGGAAGAAGGCCUUCGGGUUGUAAACGUUCUUUACCUAGGACGAAGAACGUAGACGGUACCGUGGAGAAAAGACAACGGACGUAACUACGUAG
rnacentral:rRNA from 1 species